rnacentral:rRNA from 1 species
CCUACGGGAUGCAGCAGUUGGGAAUAUUGGACUAUGGGCGCAAGCCUGAUCCAGCCAUGCCGCGUGAGUGAUGAAGGCCCUAGGGUUGUAAAGCUCUUUCACCGGUGAAGAUAAUGACGGUAACCGGAGAAGAAGCCCCGGCUAACUUCGUGCCAGCAGCCGCGGUAAUACGAAGGGGGCUAGCGUUGUUCGGAAUUACUGGGCGUAAAGCGCACGUAGGCGGAUAUUUAAGUCAGGGGUGAAAUCCCAGAGCUCAACUCUGGAACUGCCUUUGAUACUGGGUAUCUCGAGUAUGGAAGAGGUGAGUGGAAUUCCGAGUGUAGAGGUGAAAUUCGUAGAUAUUCGGAGGAACACCAGUGGCGAAGGCGGCUCACUGGUCCAUUACUGACGCUGAGGUGCGAAAGCGUGGGGAGCAAACAGGAUUAGAUACCCUCGUAGUC